rnacentral:rRNA from 1 species
GAUGAACGCUGGCGGCGUGCCUAAUACAUGCGAGUCGAGCGAACAGACGAGGAGCUUGCUCCUCUGACGUUAGCGGCGGACGGGUGAGUAACACGUGGAUAACCUACCUAUAAGACUGGGAUAACUUCGGGAAACCGGAGCUAAUACCGGAUAAUAUAUUGAACCGCAUGGUUCAAUAGUGAAAGACGGUUUUGCUGUCACUUAUAGAUGGAUCCGCGCCGCAUUAGCUAGUUGGUAAGGUAACGGCUUACCAAGGAAACGAUGCGUAGCCGACCUGAGAGGGUGAUCGGCCACACUGGAACUGAGACACGGUCCAGACUCCUACGGGAGGCAGCAGUAGGGAAUCUUCCGCAAUGGGCGAAAGCCUGACGGAGCAACGCCGCGUGAGUGAUGAAGGUCUUCGGAUCGUAAAACUCUGUUAUUAGGGAAGAACAAAUGUGUAAGUAACUAUGCACGUCUUGACGGUACCUAAUCAGAAAGCCACGGCUAACUACGUG